rnacentral:tRNA from 1 species
GCGGAAGUGGCGAAAUUGGUAGACGCACCAGAUUUAGGUUCUGGCGCCGCNGUAAGAGUUCAAGUCUCUUCUUCCGCACCA